GAUGCCGCUGUUUGCGAUAUACUGUGAGCGUCAAGAGAAAUCGUAAGCAUCCCACUGGGGAGUACGCCGGCAACGGUGAAACUCAAAGGGAAUUGACGGGGGCCCGCACAAGCGGAGGAACAUGUGGUUUAAUUCGAUGAUACGCGAGGAACCUUUACCCGGGGCUUGAACUGCCAGCGAACGAUUCAGAGAUGAUGAGGUCCUUCGGGACGCUGGUGGAGGUGCUGCAUGGUUGUCGUCAGCUCGUGCCGUGAGGUGUCGGCUUAAGUGCCAUAACGAGCGCAACCCUUUUCUUUAGUUGCCAUCAGGUAAUGCUGGGCACUCUGGAGAUACUGCCACCGUAAGGUGUGAGGAAGGUGGGGAUGACGUCAAAUCAGCACGGCCCUUACGUCCGGGGCUACACACGUGUUACAAUGGGGGGUACAGAGAGUCGGAUAUACGCAAGUAUGUUCUAAUCCUUAAAGCCUUCCUCAGUUCGGAUUGGGGUCUGCAACCCGACCCCAUGAAGCUGGAUUCGCUAGUAAUCGCGCAUCAGCCAUGGCGCGGUGAAUACGUUCCCGGGCCUUGUACACACCGCCCGUCAAGCCAUGAAAGCCGGGGGCGCUUGAAGUCCGUGACCGCAAGGAUCGGCCUAGAGCGAAACUGGUAAUUGGGGCUAAGUCGUAACAAGGUAACCGUA
rnacentral:rRNA from 1 species